rnacentral:rRNA from 1 species
UUUCGAAUCAUUCACAAUGGGCGAAAGCCUGAUGGUGCGACGCCGCGUGAGGGAUGAAGGUCUUCGGAUUGUAAACCUCUGUCACUGGGGACGAAAAACAUAAUAGUAAUACUAUUAUGUCUGACAUAACCCGGAGAGGAAGCAGUGGCUAACUCUGUGCCAGCAGCCGCGGUAAUACAGAGACUGCAAGCGUUAUUCGGAUUCACUGGGCGUAAAGGGUGCGCAGGUGGCUAUGUGUGUUAGGUGUGAAAUUCCGGAGCUCAACUCCGGAGCUGCGCCUAAAACUACAUGGCUAGAGCAUUGGAGAGGGUAGCGGAAUUCACGGUGUAGCAGUGAAAUGCGUAGAUAUCGUGAGGAACACCAGAGGCGAAGGCGGCUACCUGGACAAUUGCUGACACUCAGGCACGAAAGCGUGGGGAGCCAAAG